rnacentral:rRNA from 1 species
CUAAGGCUAAAUACUCUCUAGUGACCGAUAGUGAACCAGUACCGUGAGGGAAAGGUGAAAAGCACCCCGGAAGGGGAGUGAAAUAGAACCUGAAACCGUGUGCUUACAAGUAGUCAGAGCCCGUUAAUGGGUGAUGGCGUGCCUUUUGUAGAAUGAACCGGCGAGUUACGAUUUGAUGCAAGGUUAAGCAGUAAAUGUGGAGCCGUAGCGAAAGCGAGUCUGAAUAGGGCGUUUAGUAUUUGGUCGUAGACCCGAAACCAGGUGAUCUACCCUUGGUCAGGUUGAAGUUCAGGUAACACUGAAUGGAGGACCGAACCGACUUACGUUGAAAAGUGAGCGGAUGAACUGAGGGUAGCGGAGAAAUUCCAAUCGAACCUGGAGAUAGCUGGUUCUCUCCGAAAUAGCUUUAGGGCUAGCCUCAAGUGAUGAUUAUUGGAGGUAGAGCACUGUUUGGACGAGGGGCCCCUCUCGGGUUACCGAAUUCAGACAAACUCCGAAUGCCAAUUAAUUUAACUUGGGAGUCAGAACAUGGGUGAUAAGGUCCGUGUUCGAAAGGGAAACAGCCCAGACCACCAGCUAAGGU